rnacentral:tRNA from 1 species
UCCCUGGUGGUCCUGUGGUUGAGACUCUGUGCUUCCACUUCAGGGGGCCUGGGUUCGAUCCCUGGUCAGGGAA